UGGGGAAUAUUGCACAAUGGACGGAAGUUUGAUGCAGCGACGCCGCGUGGAGGGUGUAGGCCUCCGGGUUGUGAACUCCUUUUUCUCGCGAAAAAGGCACAGUUUUGGCUGUGUUGAUGGUAGUGGGGGAAGAAGCGCCGGCUAACUACGUGCCAGCAGCCGCGGUAAUACGUAGGGCGCGAGCGUUGUCCGGAUUUAUUGGGCGUAAAGAGCUCGUAGGUGGUUCGUCGCGUCUGUCGUGAAAGCCAGCAGCUUAACUGUUGGUCUGCGGUGGGUACGGGCGGGCUUGAGUGCGGUAGGGGUGACUGGAAUUCCUGGUGUAGCGGUGGAAUGCGCAGAUAUCAGGAGGAACACCGAUGGCGAAGGCAGGUCACUGGGCCGUUACUGACACUGAGGAGCGAAAGCGUGGGGAGCGAACAGG
rnacentral:rRNA from 1 species